UACAGAGGUCUCAAGCGUUGUUCGGAUUCAUUGGGCGUAAAGGGCGCGUAGGCGGCGGGGUAAGUCGGGUGUGAAAUCUCAGAGCUCAACUCUGAAACUGCACUCGAUACUGCUCUGCUUGAGGACUGGAGAGGAGACUGGAAUUCACGGUGUAGCAGUGAAAUGCGUAGAUAUCGUGAGGAAGACCAGUGGCGAAGGCGGGUCUCUGGACAGUUCCUGGACACUGAGGCAGCGGAA
rnacentral:rRNA from 1 species